UUGUAAGUGUUUAAGGGCGCAUGGUGGAUGCCUUGGCACUGGGAGCCGAUGAAGGACGUAGGAGGCUGCGAUAAGCCUCGGGGAGCUGUCAACCGAGCGUUGAUCCGAGGAUGUCCGAAUGGGGAAACCCGGCACGAGUGAUGUCGUGUCACCAGGCGCUGAAUAUAUAGGCGUCUGGGGGGAACGCGGGGAAGUGAAACAUCUCAGUACCCGUAGGAAGAGAAAACAAAAUGUGAUUCCGUGAGUAGUGGCGAGCGAAAGCGGAGGAUGGCUAAACCGUAUGCAUGUGAUACCGGGUAGGGGUUGUGUGUGCGGGGUUGUGGGACCUAUCUUUCCGGCUCUACCUGGCUGGAGGGCAGUGAGAAAAUGUUGUGGUUAGCGGAAAUGGCUUGGGAUGGCCUGCCGUAGACGGUGAGAGCCCGGUACGUGAAAACCCGACGUCUGUCUUGAUGGUGUUCCCGAGUAGCAGCGGGCCCGUGGAAUCUGCUGUGAAUCUGCCGGGACCACCCGGUAAGCCUGAAUACUUCCCAGUGACCGAUAGCGGAUUAGUACCGUGAGGGAAUGGUGAAAAGUACCCCGGGAGGGGAGUGAAAGAGUACCUGAAACCGUGCGCUUACAAUCCGUCAGAGCCCUCGACGUGUCGUGGGGUGAUGGCGUGCCUUUUGAAGAAUGAGCCUGCGAGUCAGGGACAUGUCGCGAGGUUAACCCGGGUGGGGUAGCCGCAGCGAAAGCGAGUCUGAAUAGGGCGUAUCCACGCAACAGUGUGUGGUGUAGUGGUGUGUUCUGGACCCGAAGCGGAGUGAUCUACCCAUGGCCAGGGUGAAGCGCGGGUAAGACCGCGUGGAGGCCCGAACCCACUUAGGUUGAAGACUGAGGGGAUGAGCUGUGGGUAGGGGUGAAAGGCCAAUCAAACUCCGUGAUAGCUGGUUCUCCCCGAAAUGCAUUUAGGUGCAGCGUCGCAUGUUUCUUGCCGGAGGUAGAGCUACUGGAUGGCCGAUGGGCCCCACAGGGUUACUGACGUCAGCCAAACUCCGAAUGCCGGUAAGUCCAAGAGUGCGGCAGUGAGACGGCGGGGGAUAAGCUCCGUGCGUCGAGAGGGAAACAGCCCAGAUCGCCGGCUAAGGCCCCUAAGCGUGUGCUAAGUGGAAAAGGAUGUGCAGUCGCGAAGACAACCAGGAGGUUGGCUUAGAAGCAGCCACCCUUGAAAGAGUGCGUAAUAGCUCACUGGUCAAGUGAUUGUGCGCCGAUAAUGUAGCGGGGCUCAAGCACACCGCCGAAGCCGCGGCAACGACCUUGUGUCGUUGGGUAGGGGAGCGUCCUGCAUCCGGUGAAGCCGCCGAGUGAUCGAGUGGUGGAGGGUGUGGGAGUGAGAAUGCAGGCAUGAGUAGCGAUUAGGCAAGUGAGAACCUUGCCCGCCGAAAGACCAAGGGUUCCUGGGCCAGGCCAGUCCGCCCAGGGUGAGUCGGGACCUAAGGCGAGGCCGACAGGCGUAGUCGAUGGACAACGGGUUGAUAUUCCCGUACCCGUGUAUGUGCGUCCAUGAUGAAUCAGCGGUACUAACCAUCCAAAACCACCGUGACUGCACCUUUCGGGGUGUGGCGUUGGUGGGGCUGCAUGGGACCUUCGUUGGUAGUAGUCAAGCGAUGGGGUGACGCAGGAAGGUAGCCGUACCGGUCAGUGGUAAUACCGGGGUAAGCCUGUAGGGAGUCAGAUAGGUAAAUCCGUCUGGCGUAUAUCCUGAGAGGUGAUGCAUAGCCGAGUGAGGCGAAUUCGGUGAUCCUAUGCUGCCGAGAAAAGCCUCUAGCGAGGACAUACACGGCCCGUACCCCAAACCAACACAGGUGGUCAGGUAGAGAAUACUAAGGCGUACGAGUGAACUAUGGUUAAGGAACUCGGCAAAAUGCCCCCGUAACUUCGGGAGAAGGGGGACCCACAUGGCGUGUAAGCCUUUACGGCCCAAGCGUGAGUGGGUGGCACAAACCAGUGAGAAGCGACUGUUUACUAAAAACACAGGUCCGUGCGAAGUCGCAAGACGAUGUAUACGGACUGACGCCUGCCCGGUGCUGGAAGGUUAAGAGGACCCGUUAACCCUUCGGGGUGAAGCGGAGAAUUUAAGCCCCAGUAAACGGCGGUGGUAACUAUAACCAUCCUAAGGUAGCGAAAUUCCUUGUCGGGUAAGUUCCGACCUGCACGAAUGGCGUAACGACUUCUCAACUGUCUCAACCAUAGACUCGGCGAAAUUGCACUACGAGUAAAGAUGCUCGUUACGCGCGGCAGGACGAAAAGACCCCGGGACCUUCACUACAACUUGGUAUUGGUGCUCGAUACGGUUUGUGUAGGAUAGGUGGGAGACUGUGAAGCUCACACGCCAGUGUGGGUGGAGUCGUUGUUGAAAUACCACUCUGAUCGUAUUGGGCCUCUAACCUCGGACCGUAUAUCCGGUUCAGGGACAGUGCCUGGUGGGUAGUUUAACUGGGGCGGUUGCCUCCUAAAAUGUAACGGAGGCGCCCAAAGGUUCCCUCAACCUGGACGGCAAUCAGGUGUUGAGUGUAAGUGCACAAGGGAGCUUGACUGCGAGACGGACAUGUCGAGCAGGGACGAAAGUCGGGACUAGUGAUCCGGCACCUCUGAGUGGAAGGGGUGUCGCUCAACGGAUAAAAGGUACCCCGGGGAUAACAGGCUGAUCUUCCCCAAGAGUCCAUAUCGACGGGAUGGUUUGGCACCUCGAUGUCGGCUCGUCGCAUCCUGGGGCUGGAGCAGGUCCCAAGGGUUGGGCUGUUCGCCCAUUAAAGCGGCACGCGAGCUGGGUUUAGAACGUCGUGAGACAGUUCGGUCUCUAUCCGCCGCGCGCGUCAGAAGCUUGAGGAAACCUGUCCCUAGUACGAGAGGACCGGGACGGACGAACCUCUGGUAUACCAGUUGUCCCACCAGGGGCACGGCUGGAUAGCCACGUUCGGACAGGAUAACCGCUGAAAGCAUCUAAGCGGGAAACCUCUUCCAAGACCAGGCUUCUCACCCUCUAGGAGGGAUAAGGCCCCCCGCAGACCACGGGAUUGAUAGACCAGACCUGGAAGCCUAGUAAUAGGUGCAGGGAACUGGCACUAACCGGCCGAAAACUUACAACACCCCAUAAUCGUUGUAAGAAGAAAACAUUGACGCACC
rnacentral:rRNA from 1 species